GUAAUUGUAACACAAUCGAUUGAGCAAUUGAAUAAUAAAUCAUGUUCUGCUUGUUCUUCUGCAAUUUCUUCCUAAAAUUUCUAGUACAUUACAAAUUGGUAUCAGAGCCCGAUCCUCGCACCUUGACGAUUACAGAAACUCGAGCCAAAGUUACAGAGGAAAGCGUUAAAAAAUUAGAACAUCAAUUACAGAGUUACAUGACUGAAACCAAUCAGAAAUUGGAAACUAAUGAAGCAAAAAUGGAUGAUCUUGGUCACAAACUGGAUGUCAUGAUGCAGAAGCUAUUCACCAACAAGGAUGGCCUUCUGGGGAGUGCACCAGCUGAAAUUCAUGAAAGAACAGAAGGAUCUGGUAGUAGAGCAAGGAUGAAGGAUCCUCAUGAAAAUUCUGGCGAUAUAUUCCAUGUGAACAACAACAAGGUUGAUUGUCCUUACUUCGAGGAAGGAGACCCUAGAUCUUGGCUGCGAAAAUGUGAGAGAUAUUUUCAUUAUAAUUACAUAAUAGAUCCUCAACACAAAUUAGAAACUGUUGUAUUACAUUUAAAUGGUAGAGCUAAGUCUUGGUACUUUUCAUAUCAAUUAAGCAGGGGAGUUGUAAGAUGGGCUGAUUUUGUGGAGAAAAUUUGUAAGAGGUUUAAUAAUUCUGAUAAUAGCAAUCUGAAUUUACUUGGGAAAUUCAAAAGAAUUGAACAAAUAGGGACUGUGAAUGAGUAUCUUGAGAAGUUUGAUGAUCUUAAAGCUUGGGUGUUGAUCAAACACCCUACUAUACCUGAUGAAUUUUUUUUAGGGUUCUUCAUUGAAGGUCUUAAGGAAGAAAUUAGAUACACAGUUAAAAUGUUGGAUCCUUAUUCUUUGAGUCAAGCAGUAGAGAAGGCUAGACAUAAGGAAGAUUUGUUGGAAUCAAUGAACAAAAAAGGGAAAUUGGGGAGUAGUAGACAAGAGGUUCAGUAUAGCACUAAUCUUAGUGCAUGAGUGGUUAAAAAUUCUGGUAUGGGGCAGAAAGAAGGAAACCCUAACAGUUCUAUUUCUGGUAACAAACUGUUUGAAGCUAGAAAGGCUAAAGGAGAGUGUUACAAGUGUGGGGAGAGAUACUUUCCAGGUCAUGUGUGCAAGAAUAGACAAAUUAAUGCCCUAUCUGGUACUAUUGAACAGGGGAAGAUAGUAGAAGGGUCCAGUUUGGAGGAGCCUUACGAGGAGGUGAUUGAUGAAGCCAUUAGUUUAAAUGUCUUAUCAGAUACUGUUACAUCCAACACAAUCAAGCUAAAAGGAAUGUAUGGGAAGCAAGGGUUGAUAAUAUUAGCUGACAGUGGGAGCACCCACAGCUUUGUGGCUAGUGACACUAGCCAAACAAUUAAGUUGUGUGAUUAGAGAAGCUACACCUAUGAGGGUGACUGCUGCCAAUAGUAGUCAUUUGAUGAGCUACCACGACUGCUCUCAGUUCAAAUGGAAGGUUCAAGGAGUAGAAUUUAAUUACAAACUCAGGCUAUUGGAUAUUAGAGGUUGUGAUAUAGUACUUGGUGGAGAUUGGAUGAGAAAACAUAAUCCUAUACUAGUUGACUUCAUUGGGUACAGGUUGCAAUUUAGUGUCAAUGGGAAAAGGGUAGAUUUGAAAGGAUAAACUGAAGAAGGGAGCCUCCAAGCUAUGUCAAUUUUAGGGAUGAAACAACUACUGAAGAAGGGUCAAGUAUUGUGGGUACAUCUAUUCAUUUUAACCGCCAAAGAUGAAAGGGUAACAGAGGCAAUACCUGAGGAGAUUAAGACAGUGUUGAAAGACUUUACAAAGGUCUUUACAGAGCCAAAAACACUACCUCCAAGAAGAAAGCAGGACCACUUCAUUCCUCUCAAUCCUGAAGCAGCCCCAGUCAGUAUUCGACCUUACAGGUACAACUAUUUCCAAAAAUAUGAAAUAGAGAAAUAAGUUAAUGAAAUGCUCUCUAGUGGUACUAUACAGCCUAGUUAUUCUCCCUUCUCUUCCCCGAUUCUUUUAGUUAAAAAGAAAGAUGGAAGUUGGAGAUUUUGUAUUGAUUAUAGGGAGUUAAAUAAGAUGACUAUUAAGGAUAAGUUUCCUAUUCUUUUGGUAGAUGAUUUGAUGGAUGAAUUACAUUGUUCCUACAUCUACUCAAAAAUUGAUCUCAGGGAUGGUUAUCAUCAGAUAAGGAUGGGAGAAACAGACAUCUAUAAGAUUGCUUUUAGAACUCAUUCGGACCAUUAUGAGUUCAAGGUCAUGCCCUUUGGCUUGACUAAUGCACCUGCCAACUUUCAAAGUCUUAUGAAUCACAUUUUUAAACCUUCUUUGAGGAAAUUUGUGUUGGUAUUUUUUGAUGAUAUCCUAGUUUACAGUUCUUCAGUAGAAGUGCAUGUAUUGCAUCUUAGAAAAGUGCUAGAGGUACUAUACAAAGAGCAACUAUAUGCUAAAUUGUCCUAAGUGUUCAUUUGGACAAGAUAAAGUUGAGUACCUAGGCCACAUUAUUUCAGUAAAGGGAGUUUCUACUGACCCUUCAAAGAUUGAAGCAAUGAUCAAUUGGCCUAUUCCUAAGUCUGUGAAAGCCUUAAGGGGAUUUCUUGGGUUAACUGGCUAUUAUUGAAGAUUUGUUAAGUCCUAUGGGGUUAUCAGAAGACCUCUGACAAAUCUUCUCAAGAAGAAUUCUUUUCAAUGGAGUACAGAAGCAGAAAAGGCUUUCCAACAAUUGAAAGAAGCUAUGUCAACUGUACCAGUAUUGGCUCUUGCUGAUUUCAGCAAACCCUUCAUUAUUGAAACUGAUGCAUGUGCAACAGGUAUGGGAGUUGUACUCAUGCAAGGGGGCAGACCUAUAGCCUAUUUCAAUAAGGCAAUAGCUUUGAAACACAGGGGACUUUCUACUUAUGAAAAGGAGUAUUUAGCUGUACUUUCAGCCAUACACAAAUGGAGGCAUUACUUACAAGGGGGACACUUCAUUGUCAAAACAGAUCAUCAAAGUCUUAAGUAUCUGUUAGAAAAAAAAAGUGACCACAACCUUGCAAUAGAAAGGACUCACUAAAUUACUAGGGUUGGAUUGCGAGGUCCAAUACAAGAAAGGUGUGGAGAACAAGAUUGCAAAUGCUCUUUCAAGAAGACAGGAAGAAGACUCUACUCUCCUAGAUAUAUCUACAGCUCAGGCCACUUGGUUACAUGAGGUUUCUCAGAGUUAUAAGAAUGAUCCAAUUUUAAGUGAGUUAGUGGUCAGUCCUAACAGUAAAGCUGACUAUUCACUAUACCAAUGGAUCAUCAGAUUCAAGCAAAAGAUCUGUGUGAGGAAGAAUAAAGAGUUGAAACAACAGAUGUUGGAAACCUUGCAUCAAUCAUCCUUAGGAGGACACUCAGGUCACUAAGGACCUUACAUGACGGUGCAAUCAAUGUUCUAUUGGCCAAACAUGAAAUCAAAAAUCUUUAAGUGGGUUAGUGAGUGUGAUGUCUGUCAAAGGACUAAGACUGAGCACAACCAUUACCCUGGGUUCUCCAACCCUUACCUAUUCCGGAACAGGCUUGGUAGGAUAUAUCUCUUGACUUUAUCGAAGGAUUACCUAAUUUUGGGCAGAGAAAUGUUGUGUUGGUGGUCAUAGAUAGACUAACGAAGUAUGGGCAUUUCCUAGCUAUUAAACACCCAUAUUCAGCACAGGACGUGGUAGAAUUGUUUAUGAGAGAGAUACAGAUUACAUGGGCUUCCCAAGACUAUUGUCUCUGAUAGGGACGCCAUUUUUACUAGCCAUUUCUGGAAGUAUCUCUUCAAGGCUUUAGGCACUAAACUCAACAUGAGUUCUGCCUAUCACCCAUAGUCCGAUGGUCAGACUGAGCGACUCAACAGGUGUUUAAAGACUUAUUUGCGAGCUAUGGUAUUUGGAAAUCCAAAGCAGUGGCUAAAUGGCUACAUCUUGCAGAGUGGUGGUACAAUACUAAUUACCACACUUCUCUUAAGACGACACUAUUUGAGGCAUUAUAUGGACACCCUCCGACUCAAUUACCAUUGGGUUCACUGCCUCAUAGUGGUCAUAACCCAGCAGGAGUCAACUUAGCACAGAGGCAGCACAUGCUUCAGAUUCUCAAAGAUAACCUCACUCAAGCUCAGUCUAGAAUGAAAUUCUAUGCAGACAAACUAAGGUCAAAAAGGACUUUGACAGUAGGGGAUCUAGUCUACCUAAAGCUUCAACCUUACAGACAAUCUUUAGUCGAUGUUCGCAAAAAUGUGAAUUUAAGUGCUCGUUAUUAUGGUCCCACAAGAUUCUACAGAAGAUUGGUACAGUGGCUUACCGGCUUGAACUUCCAAGCGGAUCUCAGCUUCAUCCCGUCUUCCAUGUGUCUCAAUUGAAGAAGCGGAUCGGACCAGCAGUGACAUCUCAGUCACAGCCUCCCACUUGUGAUGAGAAGGUCGAGUCUUGAUCCAACCAAUUGCCAUUUUAGGAAAAAGAAUGGUUAAGAUCGAUAAUGGGGUUCAAGUAAGGGUGUUGAUUCAAUGGGCUAACUUGGGCAGAGAAGAAGCAUCCUGGGAAGAUUGAGGUUACAUCAAGAAUCGGUUCCCAGAUUUUGUGGCACAACAAAAACCUUGAGGACAAGGUCUAUUUUGAAGGGGUGGAGAAUGUUAUGUCUGAGGCGGAGGAAUUAAGAAAGUG
rnacentral:lncRNA from 1 species